AGAAUAAUAAGGAACAUCCAGUUUUGUAUUUGAAAUGCGAACUCCAUCAAACCCUAGAUGUGAGCCUUAAGGUUCCACUGACUAAUAAAGCCAAGGAAAAUGCUUUGGCUUUUGCAGCACAACAGGAAAUGUCUACAAUUGAGUAUGAGCGAAGGCGGAUCACAGGCACUCUGGAGAGCAGUAGCAUCCUUGUGGCUGUUGCCCUCCUGGGGCUAACCAAGAUUGAGACUUUUAUGCUCUUUCAUAUGUCAAAGUUGAGGAAGCCUAAGUCUAUUUUAUUUACAACAGAACUGAGCCUUCCAGAACAUUUUAUUAUCCCUGAAAACAUCUACAUGCCUCAAAUUCCAAAAACUCGUGCUAAAUUACUUGCAUCUGAAGGAAUUAGUGCUGCAGAUUCAACAGAUGGAGAAGAAUUUAUUUCAAUUCCUUUACAAUUUUUUCCUCUUGGCCCUGGACGUUACCCUUGUAAAAUUUUGUUGACAUCAAGCUAUGAUGUGCGUGUCUACGAUGUUGAAGGUGUGGUAAAUGCAAACCAACCAGAUGCAACAUUUGAGUUUGAGACACCAGCAUUUGAACCUCUUACCCAGAACAUUCCAAUAAAUAAUGAAACAAAGAAAGCGUGGAAAUGUCAAGUUAAAAUAGAAGGAAAAUGGUUUUAUGGACCUGCUAUUUUACUUGUAAGACCAGGUGAAACUGUGGAAUAUCCUCUCACGUUCAAACCGAUUUUGGAGUGUGAGGUUAUGGGUAAACUUACUCUGCAAAAUAAAGUGGAUGGUAUGGUGCAUAUCAUUGACAUAAAAGGGAUUGGGAAAAAACCCCUGGCUUGUGGAACCAUCAUUAUGGAUUGCAAAGUGGGAGAUGUGGCAAAUAAAUCCAUAAUAGUGCCUAAUUAUAUGAGGACUAUUUUAACAUUUAAGGUAAGAUGCUUUUUAUUUUGAAAGUGCUUUGUUCUCCAUAUGUAUUGAAUUUUGUGAUAUGUAGCAAUUAUACAAAAAUUUUAAAACAUUUAAUUUUACUUAACAUUGUAAGACUGAGGGCCUUACCAAACGCUCCGAGGAGC
rnacentral:lncRNA from 1 species